AUGGCCGAGUGGUCUAAGGCGCCAGACUCAAGUUCUGGUCCUCUUACGAGGGCGUGGGUUCAAACCCCACUUCUGACAUCUUUUUCUUUAUUUUUUGGCACCAUAAAAAUAUGA
rnacentral:rRNA from 1 species